UACGUAGGGUGCAAGCGUUGUCCGGAAUUAUUGGGCGUAAAGAGCUCGUAGGCGGUUUGUCGCGUCGAAUGUGAAAACCCGGGGCUCAACCCCGGGCCUGCAUUCGAUACGGGCAGACUAGAGUUCGGUAGGGGAGUCUGGAAUUCCUGGUGUAGCGGUGAAAUGCGCAGAUAUCGGGAGGAACACCGGUGGCGAAGGCGGUUCUGCUGGGCCGUGUACUGACGCUGAGGAGCGAAAGCGUGGGGAGGCGAACAGGAUUGAGAUACCCCGAUCCAGCACCA
rnacentral:rRNA from 1 species